CAGGUACAACAUUUUCAUUUUGGUGCUGUGGAUGACUUCUCAAGAAGGAUCAUGUACCUCGGUGCAGCAAACAACAAUCAGCCCUCAACUGCACUGGCCAUCUUCCAGCAGUCAGUGGAGAGAUAUGGAUUUCCAUCCAGGGUAAGAGCGGAUCGCAGACUCGAGAACGUUGACAUUGCACGGCUGAUGUUCUCUGUCAUGGGAACAGGAAGGUCCAGUUUCAUUGCUGGGAAGAGCGUUCACAUUCAAAG